CCUAAUUUUUUCGUGAAGAAGCAGAAAACAAAUUCAGUUUUGAAUAAUCAACGGAACAUUAAAUAAAUUAAUUAUAUUGGCGAAAUAUUUUACAUCUAAAACCGAUAAAAAGUCUUAUUAUGUCGGUUGAACAACAGGUGCUAUGUACCCAAUUAAUAAAAUGUCGAGAAACCAUAUAUAGAGGUUCCAGCGAUAUGAAAAACCGCAUAGAAUGGUUAAAUAAUUUCUGCGGUGAUUUUUAUUUAUUUGCCAACCACCUGCACAAAUAUAUCACUAACGAAUUGAAAGACGAAGAUCAUGAAGGAAAUGAAAAUAUGGAUAACAUUUUGCUUUGCUUGGCUCAAGUAUGCUUGUGUACAAAAUAUCUGGAACGAAUUAUACGUGCGGAGGAUACUGCUAGAGUUGCAUUAUCAUGUUCACGGAAACAUUUUAUUGACCGCAUAAUGUUGUGUUUCGAUAAAUUGGAAAAAUGUUUCAAUAAUUUAACAAUUUCUGCCGAGAAGAAAUUACCAACACAGGGAAUGUCAGGCUGUGGAUUUAUGACCUUAUUAGACAUGGCAAUGGAUCAUAUAAAAGAGUAUAGUACUUAUCAAGAAGAAAUUAAAACUGAUACUCAUGAAUUAGACCAACUUGAAGAUGCACUAGCAUCCAGUAAAGAAGUUUACCAAGCCGUCCGUUUAAUGAUCAGUCAUGCACUUGCGCUAGCUAAUGUAGCGCUGUUUGAAGAUAAAACCGCUAUCAGCGCAUUAUGUCAAAAGGUCUUGCGCGAGAGUACCGCAUUUCAACAGGAAUGUCAAAACAACUUGCAGCAAAUUAAAAGUAAUAAUUGGCAUCGCAGAAUAAAGGCUAUUGCGUUGGGAUGCUCAUUAACACAAUUGCAUCAGUACAUCGAUGGAACUGUUUUGCGUUUGAUAUUUCGUUUUUUCGCAGAUUUUGAAAAAUUUUCGUUAGAUAAGCUACGCGCCAAGAUGCGUCAAAACGGCACAAAUGAUACCGAGUUGGAUGAAUUCAUAGCGGAUUUUGAUGUAAAUUUGGAUAGACUGUCUCAAAUAGGACUCUUUGCUGCCAGUGACGUCUUAAGGCCCAAAUUAAAGACGUUGGUGCGCAGUUGUAUGGCAUCGCUGGAAGCGCUUGAUUCAUGCAUAAUACCCUCAUUGCAAGCACAUAACGGCACAGAUAUGCAUACUGAAAUUCUAGAACAACAUUUCUAUGAGGAAAUAAAUAAGUUCAAAACGGUUUUAUAUGAAAUUGUCGAUGCGCUGCCGCUCACCAGGUGCUUUUACGAAUUGUUCAGCACUUGUCUCGCUGAAACAGAAAAACAAUUUAAUAAGUCGAAGUUGGACGAUUUGGUGCAAAUGGGUGAAUUUCUUUUGCAAUAUUUCCAGUAUACCACAAAUAAAAAAGUCCUCCACCAUGCACAUAAAUUGAAAAACAACGCACUUGAACUGUUUCAAAAAUUGAAAUUAAUGUUAAACGAAUGUCGUGCUAUCCUCGUAUGUGCCGAUCAAGUGGAACAAAUGCGUAUAAUAAAACGUUUUAAAAUAUUGCGUGCUAUUUUGCGGCGAUUCGUUGAUGCGCUAGAGCAAACCGAAAAUGUGUCGGGCAAAAAAGUUGAAGCAGAUCGGACAGUCAUGCAAAACGUUGCUACCGAUAUAAAAUCAAUUGACUUGAAUGCCUCGCAGUAUAUGCUAGAAUGUAUAGAACCGAGCGUUUGCAGUAUUUUAUAUCGCGAUGAAACCGAAUUAUUUACACCACGUAGGCGUGCUGUAAGCGACUCCAUGCGUGGUAAUUACUCUAAAUGCCCAAUACCACAAAAUGAUAAGCGCGCAUCGCAUGUAAGAUUACACGAUGAUUGGCAGAGUCAAUUCAGGCAGAGUCGCAGCAGUAGUGCUGGCAGCAGUAUGCGUAGGAGUGGAGGAAAGUUUGCGUACUGUGAUGUUUAAGCGCCAAAAAUCCGCAGAGACACAGAAAGCUUGUAAUUUUUAUUUGCAAAACUCGGCCAGUUUACAAAUUUCGGAAAUAUUAGAUCAAUUGACGGAGAUAUCCGGUAACACACCGUGCGCCACACAAGCACGUUUACUGAACACCUCGAUCAUUGAAUAAACAAUUUCUCCGCUCCUAAUUAUCUCACAGUAACAAUUUUGAAUGUUAUGAACGAAAAUGUUCCAAUCGUUGGUGUUUUUACGGUCUGUAUGCAAUAUUCUGAAUUCUAUCGAUAGCUGAUUCGCUUAUUAUUGUAGUGUCAAGUAUUAUUU